GCAGAACGCGAAGAACCUUACCAACCCUUGACAUGGGACGUAUGGACUUCAGAGAUGAGGUUCUUCAGUUCGGCUGGCGUCCACACAGGUGCUGCAUGGCUGUCGUCAGCUCGUGUCGUGAGAUGUUGGGUUAAGUCCCGCAACGAGCGCAACCCUCAUCUUCAGUUGCCAUCAUUUAGUUGGGCGACUCUGAAGAAACUGCCGGUGACAAGCCGGAGGAAGGCGGGGAGUGACGUCAAGUCCUCAUGGCCCGUUACGGGUUGGGCGUACACACGUGCUACAAUGGUGGUGACAAUGGGGAGCGAGGCCGCGAGGCCAAGCCAAUCUCAAAAAGCCAUCUCAGUUCGGAUUGCACUCUGCAACUCGAGUGCAUGAAGUUGGAAUCGCUAGUAAUCGCGCAUCAGCAUGGCGCGGUGAAUACGUUCCCGGGUCUUGUACACACCGGAGGUCGGUGGGGGAGGGCGAA
rnacentral:rRNA from 1 species